ACUAGAGCCAAAUCUAUCUCAAAAGUUUGGGAUAUUAAUUUUUCUUUGUUAAUAUUAAAUGAGAAAUUAACACUUAGAAUAAAACUUUUUCGGGACACCUGAGUGGCUCAGUGGUUGAACGUC
ensembl:misc_RNA